CACGUAGGCGGAUUGGAAAGUUGGGGGUGAAAUCCCGGGGCUCAACCCCGGAACUGCCUUCAAAACUCCCAGUCUGGAGGUCGAGAGAGGUGAGUGGAAUUCCGAGUGUAGAGGUGAAAUUCGUAGAUAUUCGGAGGAACACCAGUGGCGAAGGCGGCUCACCGGCUCGAACCUGACGCUGAGGUGCGAAAGCGUGGGGAGCAAACA
rnacentral:rRNA from 1 species